rnacentral:rRNA from 1 species
UUAAAUUGAAGAGUUUGAUCAUGGCUCAGAUUGAACGCUGGCGGCAGGCCUAACACAUGCAAGUCGAGCGGAAACGACACUAACAAUCC